GGUCGUAAAGUUCUGUUCGUAGGGAAGAACAAGUACCAGAGUAACUGCUGGUACCUUGCCCGUACCUAACCAGAAAGCCACGGCUAACUACGUGCCAGCAGCCGCGGUAAUACGUAGGUGGCAAGCGUUGUCCGGAAUUAUUGGGCGUAAAGCGCGCGCAGGUGGUUCCUUAAGUCUGAUGUGAAAGCCCACGGCUCAACCGUGGAGGGUCAUUGGAAACUGGGGAACUUGAGUGCAGAAGAGGAAAGUGGAAUUCCAAGUGUAGCGGUGAAAUGCGUAGAGAUUUGGAGGAACACCAGUGGCGAAGGCGACUUUCUGGUCUGUAACUGACACUGAGGCGCGAAAGCGUGGGGAGCAAACAGGAUUAGAUACCCUGGUAGUCCACGCCGUAAACGAUGAGUGCUAAGUGUUAGAGGGUU
rnacentral:rRNA from 1 species